GCACGCUCACUGCGGGCGGAACCUGCUGAUCAACGAGGUCUCUGCCAGCAGGACUCUGAGUAUUUUUGCUUUUCCCCACAGGCGUUGUCUGCUGCAGACUUGAGCAGCGCUGCUCAAGCCAUGGAGGGAGUGUGUGCUGCAGUUUGCACAGCUUUUUCCGUGGCUUAUUCUGGGUACUUUCUCACCCACCUGGCACGUCACAUCAGCCAUGCCUGGAGAGAAUCCAGUCUUUGGAGCCCAACACCAACCUCGGAGGCUCCUCUGGCUAUGUGUCUUCCUGCGGAAAAGGCCAAAGAGGAGGAAGAUGCUCCCCAAACUGCACCUGCUGCCACUGCAGGGCCUGAGCAUCCAGCAUCAGUAAGUGGCAGCUCUGGGUAGUGCUGUGGCUGGAGCAAAGCAUAGCUGCAAGUUUCUGAUCAGACAGCACCUCCCGUGCCUGGCUGAAGAUGCUGAGGGCUGGAAUCUUUCCAGCCCUUCCCCCAGUCAGUUAGGCUUGGAAAAGGGGAGUGGAACUUGGAUU